UUUAAAUAAGUAUUCGAUGUGUUAAUUUAGUUUUAAGCAGAUUUACAGAUUAACAGCAGACUGAUUUCCUGCAUCGAUAUGCCCUACUAUUCCAAUAGAAGCGCUCUGUGACGCCAUCGACCAGCCCUGGUUUUACCAUCCCUACAAGCAUCCCAUCCCUUUCUAUCAUCUCAACCUCUUUUUGGCCAAAGAGAGUCAAGGGGGCACUGGCAACAGGCGCAACAAGCAUGCAUCUGUGUGUCCCCAAAGCACGAAAAAGUUUCCCGAAAGAGUGUGCGCUCUGUCUCUCUCGCUGUUGCUCUCUUUGGCUGCGCAUGAGUCGCAUUUAUGACGUCACAAGAGAAAAGCGUGUGCACGUCGGGGCAGCACGACGCCGUUUCAGCUGUUUUUACCCGCCGCCAGCCAGCCAGCAAGCACAUGGCGGGUCAUAAAAAUAAUACAUUUUCAUUCGUUUGCCUCGUUUUCCACAGUGCAGAGUGCCGCCGCCUCAGAGAAAAGCCCGCCCCGCCGCUCGGAGAAGCGAACGGUCGAGAGUAAAACGCGGCAUUUGGCUGCUGCUGCUGCCGCUGCUGAUUCAAUUCCUGUUCGGUGGAUUGGCUUUCAGUUUACUUUACGGAUUUUCCGAGUCAACAACGCAAGCAAGGCCAGGCAAAAGGACCAACGCGCCAUGUGGGGUUCGAUGGCCGUUUGCUGUUCCCGUUCCCGUUGCCGUUGCAGUUUUCCUCGUUUUUCCGGAUGCGUUGUGGCCACUGGCCAGUGCAGUGCCUUUCCUGGUGCCUUUUCCCUGGCUACUGACUAGUGGACGUGACUCCUUUGUUGUCCUGGCAACUUUCCCAGCACUAUCCGGGCCAACGUGGAAUCUUUUCGGUGAGUGAUAAAUGCAAAAAAUGUGUGCUGUUUUAUUAUAAUCAUAAUUAAAUGACAUGGAAAACGUUUUAAAGGCGGUUUAAGUCGUGAGGCUUAUGUUUGUUUGAUGCUUCCUACCAGCUAUCGAUUUUUGUAGCCGGCAAAAGUAU
rnacentral:lncRNA from 1 species